AUCUUCCCACCUCAGAAUAUCUGGAUUGCAGGUCCGGGAUUGAAACCAGGAACUCUCUAAUGAUAGGCAAAUGUCGUACCACUAUAUCACACCCUCAGUCCAUACAUAGGUUUUUAAAGGAGAUUGGGUGACUGAUUUGAGACUUUUCCUCUUUUUGAUAUAAGUAACUAUUAUAAUCUAACAUUUUCCCCUCUUAGCACUAGUUUAGCAUCUCACAAUUUUUGAUCCAUUCUCUAUUUACUUUCAUUGAACUAAGCCUAUUUUUGUAAAUUUUGAGUCUUUGUUAUUUGGAAGUGUGCUUUUUGCUUUUAGGUUCAUUGGUAAGAGAGAAAAG
rnacentral:lncRNA from 1 species